CCUUCUUUUCAUUGCUGCUGCUGUGGGUUCUCUCUCUCCUGGUCAACCUAAACAACUGUAGAAAGCUCGCUCUUCCCCCCAAAGACAGAGAAAGGUGAGCCCAAGGUUCUUGAUGGUUUUCUGCAAAGACAGCAAGUCUAAGGGAGAGAUCCUCCAGCAGAAAAAUAUGAUACAGAAUGUUAUUGGAAGAUGAAAUCUUCAAAAAGAAAAAAAGCUUUUUCCUGUGUAGGGAUCGCCAUAAAAGCUUUAUCUUUGAAGGCAGGACACCCUGCAACACCGAAGUCUUUGAACAGUGACUGCAUGUGAAACAUGGGAAGAGGAAACAAGUCAGUAGUGAUAUGAAAUCUUCUAAAUGGACCUACACUAUAUAUCCUCCUGUCUAGGAAAAGGUUUCAGAGUGGCAGCUGUGUUAGUCUGUAUCAGCCACAGUUAGUCUUGUGGCACCUUAGAGACUAACAAAUUUAUUUGGGCAUAAGCUUUCAAGGGCUAAAACCCACUUCAUCAGAUGCAUGGUGGAACCAUAGACUGUAACUCAUCUGUACUUAUAUGGUGCCUGCUUUAACCUGUAAGGAACUCUCUCAUUUCUUUUUCCUAGUUAAUAAAUCCUAAGUUUGUUUACUCUGGGAUUGGCUACCAGCAUUAUCUUAGGUGGGAGAUCUAAGGUACAAAUUGAUCUGGGGUAAGUGACUGGUCUCUUGAGACUGGGAGCAACACCAAAAAUUACAAAUUUUUCAGGUAAAUGACCAUUUAUUACUAAGUCUAGCUUGCUUGGGUGGCAAGAUAAAUUGCAGUGCCCAAGAGGACUGUCUGUGACUCCAUGGUCAGACUGUUACAGUGAUCCAGGAGUUGAAAGUUGUUCCUGGGUUGGUGAAAUCUAGUGAUAGAACAUACCACCAGUUUGUGGUGUCUUAGGGACAAGACGUUAACUGAAGUCCUGUCUAGUUUGAAUAGACAUCAAAGAUCCCACGGCACUUUUUCUAGGAGUGUGAGUUUGCCUGGCUGUCUCUGGCCAAUAUUCCCUUCCCAGCUCACUGUUGGCCCGUUUGCUGUGUCUUUUGCCUGUCUGCCUGUCACUCUUCACUCCAAAGGUGUCUGCAAACCAGUAGUGAAUUCCUGUUGAUGUUAAUACUGGUUGUGCCUGGUUCAGCAUGGGCUCAUCAAGCACACAGUUUUCAAAAUUGCCUUUGGAUGAAGUGCACUCUACUUAUUUGAAUCCAUUUGAAACUACAACCUUCACCAUGCACAAACUGAUCCAAUCCUGUAAACCUUUACUCAUGCAAAUAGCACCAUUGAUUAAUGCUCCUUCACCUCAGUGUGGGGAGGCAUGGAUCAGCGUUCAUGUCUCACUUCCUGUCAGUACUCAGACCAAGCCAGGGAAGUUAAUGAUCCAACCAAUGGACCAAAUUCGGUGAUGAAUCCUGAUCAUGUGCUACCCGAGGCACAUUGCACAUAUGCUAAGAAGAAGAAGAACUUCAGUUUGGAGGCUGAUAUGAUACAGGUAAAUGAAAUGAAACAGUAAUUGGAACAAACUAAAAACGAAUGGAAUUGCAGCAGUCAAUUUUCAAAAGUCACAACUGGAUGAAUUAAUAUUGGACACCAGAAUCUCAGUGGUAAAGGACAAAAAAAUACGUACAGAAUAUGAAAGCAAAAUUAAAGCUGACCUGACAGCUAGUGUGGAGAGCAGACCACAGGAGCAGGUGUUGUCACUCUGAUCCUCUGCAUAUUUUUAGAAGCCGGACAAGGAUAUAUUAUUUCCAUUAAAAAAAAUGAUUUUUUUUUUUGUGCAGAAUUGACAUGGAAACCCAAAUUUGCUAAAAAUGGAAAUUCUCAUGAAAAUAAGCAUCCUGUCAAAAGAGUUUUCCAUUGGAAACAUUGUGACCAGCUCUACUGUUUUUAGACUGAAAAUGAACCUUAUCUGAAGUUCUGAAAUGUUCAUAUCAUUAUUUUUAGUCUUCUGGUUUUCAGCCUGAUUGCGACUGAGAAGUACCAAAUACUAUGACUAAGGCUAUUUUCGCAGAAUCGCCAGUCAGAAACAGAAGCAGACGCACCAAAGGUCUUGUUAGAAAACUUCAUUGGCACGAUUUCCAAUCCAGUUUUGCUCCGUCGGGACAUUUGGGGACGUAGCUGCACUUCUGAAUGCUGUUCCAAACAAAACCAGAAUUCCAAAGCUUUGGUGCUUGAGCCACCCCUUUAUAGAACACACAGGAGGGUAUUAUGAUGAACAAUGGUAUUGAACUUAUUUACGUUGUUAACCUUCCUCAGCCUUUCCUCGUCAGACAUGUGCACUUCAUAUAACCUUUCAAACCUUGUGUAAAUACUCUGCUUAGGUGUGAAGUUCACUCACAGGGAAUAUAGAGGGAGUUUUACUGGUUAACAAGUUCACUGUUUAAUCUCUUCCAGGGACAUGAGAAAAAAAAAUAUUACGCUGACUCGGGAUUUUUUUUUAUAGAACAUAUAAAUCAAUAACUGAAAAACUCCCAAGUGUUAUUGCUACGUAGAGUCCCUUUGUAGCAUGCUGGUUAAAAAAGUAAGACUACAAGACAAACAUUUUCUAUCACACAACAAUGGGCCAGUCUAGGUUUCUUGCAAACCUGCAUUGCAAGUAGACUAGAACAAUUCAUUAUUUGUCUACUCAGUGAAAAUAACUGCCAUGUAAUUAAGACUGGAAAAAUUAGAAUAAGAAAAAAAUAAGGGAGAGACCUAAUGCAUUACUGCAAAGGUGACUCUCAAAAACAGCCUCUCUCCUUUUUUCCCCUCCAACCCCCACCAAAAGUAAGGAACUCUUAGGGAAAAAAAUCUGUGGAACUCAAGUUCCCAUUCAUUUUUUUACUUUAAAAUAAGAUGUUAUUGGUCAUAAACUAUGAACAAGAGUAGAAAUAAGGGUAGUUUGGCAUAUUCAGUUAGACCAUUAAUCCAUAUAGUUUUAAUAUCUUCUAGAAGUGGUCAGAACUUAGUGAUCCAAGGAAGGCAACCAUUUUGCCCAAAGUACAAUACUAUAUAUGAUAUAUACAGUGUGUAUCUUCAGGUAGAUAUGGAUGUAUGUUAAUUUGUUACUAAUCCUUAUGAAAUCAUAUUUCAUGAAAGUGUGCACUACUUUUUGAUGGGCAGCAUUGCAUAAAUGUAUUUAGUUUAACACUGUGAUGUUUAAUGAAUGCUAUGUAUUUAUUGCUAUGUUUGUACUUUAUGCAUGACCUCAAGUGCUUUUCUUACUACUAAAAUUGUUAUAAUACUG